rnacentral:tmRNA from 1 species
GCACUUUUUUUUCGCGCGCCCCCGACCUAUAUUGUGCAUGCCGGUUCGCCGGCUAUGGCGAUAAACGCGGCCGUAAUAAGCCAUUCGGACCCGGGGGCGGUACCCGGCGCCUCCACCACAUGCCCGCCGGCGCAUCCGUGCGUUGCGGGCAUCUGCUGGGGGCGAAAUAGGAUCGACGAGGGUGUAAAGGGUUUAGCUUUUGCCCGGCAUGGUACCGCCGUUAUCGGACCACCAUAGUAGUUGCAAAUGACAACUAUGCUGAGGCUGCUGUCGCUGCGUAAUGCAGUGCCUAAAGCUUCAAAUUAAGCCCUUUCCCCUAGCAGGGUAAGGCGCGGUUCGGAGGGCACCGGGCAACAGAAGCCCUCCACU